GAAAGCUCAGCUGGUAGAGUAUGAGACUCUUAAUCUCAUCGUUGUGGGUUCAAUCCCUAUUACA